GGUGACAGGGGGCGGGGGGCGGGGGUAAAACGGAGGGUGCGGGCGUGAAGGGGAAUGACUGGGCGUAAAGGGUGCGGAGGCGGUUUUGCAAGCCGGAGGUGAAAUCCCCGGGCUUAACCUGGGAAUGGCAGUUGGGACUGCAAGGCUGGAGUGCGGCAGAGGAGACUGGAAUUCCUGGUGUAGCAGUGAAAUGCGUAGAUAUCAGGAGGAAUACCGAUGGCGAAGGCAGGUCUCUGGGCUGACACUGACGCUCAUGCACGAAAGCGUGGGGAGCAAACAGGAUUAGAUACCCGUGUAGUC
rnacentral:rRNA from 1 species